AUUGAACGCUGGCGGAAUGCUUUACACAUGCAAGUCGAGCGGCAGCGCGGGGCAACCUGGCGGCGAGCGGCGAACGGGUGAGUAAUACAUCGGAACGUGCCCAGACGUGGGGGAUAACUACUCGAAAGAGUGGCUAAUACCGCAUACGAUCUAAGGAUGAAAGCGGGGGAUCGCAAGACCUCGCGCGUUUGGAGCGGCCGAUGGCAGAUUAGGUAGUUGGUGGGGUAAAGGCUUACCAAGCCCGCGAUCUGUAGCUGGUCUGAGAGGAUGAUCAGCCACACUGGGACUGAGACACGGCCCAGACUCCUACGGGAGGCAGCAGUGGGGAAUUUUGGACAAUGGGCGCAAGCCUGAUCCAGCCAUGCCGCGUGCAGGAUGAAGGCCUUCGGGUUGUAAACUGCUUUUGUACGGAACGAAAAGACUCUUUCUAAUAAAGAGGGUCCAUGACGGUACCGUAAGAAUAAGCACCGGCUAACUACGUG
rnacentral:rRNA from 1 species